AUUGAACGCUGGCGGCAGGCCUAACACACGCAAGUCGAAUGGUAACAGGAAACAGCUUGCUGUUUCGCUGACGAGUGGCGGACGGGUGAGUAAUGUCUGGGAAACUGCCUGAUGGAGGGGGAUAACUACUGGAAACGGUAGCUAAUACCGCAUAACGUCGCAAGACCAAAGAGGGGGGACCUUCGGGGCCUCUUGCCAUCAGAUGUGCCCAGAUGGGAUUAGCUAGUAGGUGGGGUAACGGCUCACCUAGGCGACGAUCCCUAGCUGGUCUGAGAGGAUGACCAGCCACACUGGAACUGAGACACGGUCCAGACUCCUACGGGAGGCAGCAGUGGGGAAUAUUGCACAAUGGGCGCAAGCCUGAUGCAGCCAUGCCGCGUGUAUGAAG
rnacentral:rRNA from 1 species